AGAGAGAGAGGUCAGCCAUCAACACAAGAAAAAGGACCUCUAUGACAAAGAAGGCAAAACCUCUGAGAUGGUAUCUCUGGAGGGAGAUGUUGGAACUGACGGAGAAGCUGCCAACUGCUGUUUAUCUGUUAACCAGUACCUCAGCAGCAACUAGAUGGAUGGAGGCAAUGGCCCUGUUUGCAAGGGAACUUCGCUCAGUCCUGGAAAUCCAGGUGUUUGACAGCUCCAGAUUAACAAUAAUGAAAAUAGUAAGAGACUUGUAGUAACUGGUUUGUACAGUAUGUCAGCACCAAAGCACCAAGGAGCUGUUACUUGAAUUCAGAUGCAAGUUCUGCAGGAAAAAAUGUCUGCCUGAUCUGAUAACUGGGAGUGACAACACAAUGGGCUACAUUGAAAGGGGCAAUA